rnacentral:tRNA from 1 species
GCGGCUCAGUGGUAAAUCAUCUGCUCGGCGUGCAGAUGGUCCCAGGUUCAAUCCCUGGCAUCGCCA